rnacentral:rRNA from 1 species
UAGGGAAUCUUCCACAAUGGACGCAAGUCUGAUGGAGCAACGCCGCGUGAUUGAAGAAGGUUUUCGGAUCGUAAAGCUCUGUCGUUGGUGAAGAAGGAUAGAGGCAGUAACUGGUCUUUAUUUGACGGUAAUCAACCAGAAAGUCACUGCUAACUACCUGCCAGCAGCCGCGGUAAUACGUAGGUGGCAAGCGUUGUCCGGUUUUAUUGGGCGUAAAGCGAGCGCAGGCGGAAUGAUAAGUCUGAUGUGAAAGCCCACGGCUCAACCGUGGAACUGCAUCGGAAACUGUCAUUCUUGAGUGCAGAAGAGGGGAGUGGAGUUCCGUGUGUGGCGGUGGAAUGCGUGGAUAUAUGGAAGAACACCAGUGGCGAAGGCGGAUCUCUGGUCUGCAACUGACGCUGAGGCUCGAAGGCAUGGGUAGCGAACAGG